rnacentral:rRNA from 1 species
UGACGUUGGGAAAGCGAGCGGCGGAUGGGUGAGUAACACGCUGGGGAACCUGCCCCUAAGCCUGGGAUACCAUUUGGAAACAGGUGCUAAUACCGGAUAAUAAAGCAGAUCGCAUGAUCAGCUUUUGAAAGGCGGCGUAAGCUGUCGCUAAGGGAUGGCCCCGCGGUGCAUUAGCUAGUUGGUAAGGUAACGGCUUACCAAGGCGACGAUGCAUAGCCGAGUUGAGAGACUGAUCGGCCACAUUGGGACUGAGACACGGCCCAAACUCCUACGGGAGGCAGCAGUAGGGAAUCUUCCACAAUGGACGCAAGUCUGAUGGAGCAACGCCGCGUGAGUGAAGAAGGUUUUCGGAUCGUAAAGCUCUGUUGUUGGUGAAGAAGGAUAGAGGUAGUAACUGGCCUUUAUUUGACGGUAAUCAACCAGAAAGUCACGGCUAACUACGUGCCAGCAGCCGCGGUAAUACGUAGGUGGCAAGCGUUGUCCGGAUUUAUUGGGCGUAAAGCGAGCGCAGGCGGAAAAAUAAGUCUAAUGUGAAAGCCCUCGGCUUAACCGAGGAACUGCAUCGGAAACUGUUUUUCUUGAGUGCAGAAGAGGAGAGUGGAACUCCAUGUGUAGCGGUGGAAUGCGUAGAUAUAUGGAAGAACACCAGUGGCGAAGGCGGCUCUCUGGUCUGCAACUGACGCUGAGGCUCGAAAGCAUGGGUAGCGAACAGGAUUAGAUACCCUGGUAGUCCAUGCCGUAAACGAUGAGUGCUAAGUGUUGGGAGGUUUCCGCCUCUCAGUGCUGCAGCUAACGCAUUAAGCACUCCGCCUGGGGAGUACGACCGCAAGGGUUGAAACU